rnacentral:rRNA from 1 species
AUUGAACGCUGGCGGCGUGCCUUACACAUGCAAGUCGAACGGUAACGGGCCUUCGGGUGCCGACGAGUGGCGAACGGGUGAGUAAUACAUCGGAACGUGCCCGAUCGUGGGGGAUAGCGAGGCGAAAGCUUUGCUAAUACCGCAUACGAUCUACGGAUGAAAGCAGGGGACCGCAAGGCCUUGCGCGGACGGAGCGGCCGAUGGCAGAUUAGGUAGUUGGUGGGAUAAAAGCUUACCAAGCCGACGAUCUGUAGCUGGUCUGAGAGGAUGAUCAGCCACACUGGGACUGAGACACGGCCCAGACUCCUACGGGAGGCAGCAGUGGGGAAUUUUGGACAAUGGGCGCAAGCCUGAUCCAGCCAUGCCGCGUGCAGGAUGAAGGCCUUCGGGUUGUAAACUGCUUUUGUACGGAACGAAAAGCCUUCUUUUAAUACAGGAGGGUCAUGACGGUACCGUAAGAAUAAGCACCGGCUAACUACGUG